AACGUAGGGGGCGAGCGUUAUCCGGAAUCACUGGGUGUAAAGGGUACGCAGGCGGAUUUGUAAGUUGGAUGUAAAAACCCAGGGCUCAACCUUGAGCUUGCAUCCAAGACUACAAGUCUAGAGAGCAGGAGAGGGGAGUGGAAUUCCCGGUGUAGGGGUAAAAUCCGUAGAUAUCGGGAGGAACACCAAUGGCGAAGGCAGCUCCCUGGCCUGUCUCUGACGCUCAGGUACGAAAGCGUGGGGAGCAAACAGG
rnacentral:rRNA from 1 species